rnacentral:tRNA from 1 species
AGUGGAGCAGUUGGUAGCUCGUCGGGCUCAUAACCCGAAGGUCACAGGUUCGAGUCCUGUCU